rnacentral:hammerhead_ribozyme from 1 species
AUCGAGCUGAUGAGUCCCAAAUGGGACGAAACGCGCAUCGAACUGGAU